rnacentral:rRNA from 1 species
UAAGGUGGUUAUUGCGGCGGGGCUCACCUCUUCCCAUCCCGAACAGAGAAGUUAAGCCCGCCUGCGCAGAUGGUACUGCAGUUAUGUGGGAGAGUAUGUCGUCGCCUUUU